rnacentral:lncRNA from 1 species
CUUAAAUAAGAAGAGAUUGUACAAACCUUACACUGAUAUGAUUAAGGAGCGAUGGGAUAAACAUGUUCGUCUUAACAUACAUGCAGCAGCUUAUUUUUUUCAAUCCUGCUUUCAUUUAUGAAGAAGGAUUUUGUCAAAAAGUAGAAGUCAUGCAAGCUCUAUUCAAUUUGCUUGAAAUCAAAAGUAUUUGUGGUGAUGAGACAAAAGCAAUGGGGGAGAUAAGGAUGUAUCUAUAACGUGAAGGGAGUUUUGGAAGGCAAUCUGCAUGUAAUACUAGAAAAUCAUUACAACCUGGUGAGAAAUUGUAUUUAGUUAUUUAUUGUUUAUUUUUAAUAGUUCUUAGCGCUUGAAACUAAUUUUAUUAAAUUAUGCAGAUGAAUGGUGGAAAUUGUGUGGAUCUAGUGCUCCAACUUUGCAAAAGAUAGCUGUUCGAAUACUUGGUCAAACAGCUUCUUUUUCGGGAUGUGAAAGGAAUUGGAGUGUCUUUGAACGUAUUCACACAAAAAAAAAAAAAAUAGAUUGGAGCAUCAAAGACUCA